AACGAACGCUGGCGGCAGGCCUAACACAUGCAAGUCGAGCGGACCCUUCGGGGUUAGCGGCGGACGGGUGAGUAACGCGUGGGAAUAUUCCCUUCUCCACGGAAUAGUCCUGGGAAACUGGGGGUAAUACCGUAUACGCCCUUUUGGGGAAAGAUUUAUCGGGGAAGGAUUAGCCCGCGUUGGAUUAGGUAGUUGGUGGGGUAAUGGCCUACCAAGCCGACGAUCCAUAGCUGGUUAGAGAGGAUGGUCAGCCACACUGGGAGUGAGACACGGCCCAGACUCCUACGGGAGGCAGCAGUGGGGAAUCUUAGACAAUGGGGGGAGCCCUGAUCUAGCCAGGCCGCGAGAGUGAUGAAGGCCUGAGAGUUGUAAAGCUCUUUCAGCUGGGAAGAUAAUGACGGUACCAACAGAAGAAGCCCCGGCUAACUCCGUG
rnacentral:rRNA from 1 species